ACCCUAUUAUUAUUAGUUUAAAAAAUAAUUGGGGACUACGAGCAAUAGCUUAAAAACCCAAGAAUUUGGCGGUGUCUUAUUCAAUCAGGGGAAUCUGUCCCAUAAUCGAUAGCCCACGAAUAGUAUAUCUACUUUUAAAAUUUAGUUUGUGUACUGCCGACUAUAUAGGCCCUUAAAGUAACCUAUAAAAAAUUUUUUAAAUCAUAUGUCAGGUCAAAGUGCAGCUUAUAUGUAGAAGAGGAUGGAUUACAAUCUAUAUAAUAGACUUUAUUACAAUAUAGUAUUGUAAAUAAGAAGAACUUGAUAGUAAUGAUAUUUAUAAAAUAGCAUGAAAUUGAACUUAAGACAA
rnacentral:rRNA from 1 species